rnacentral:rRNA from 1 species
UACGGGAGGCAGCAGUGGGGAAUAUUGCACAAUGGGCGAAAGCCUGAUGCAGCUAUGCCGCGUGUAUGAAGAAGGCCUUAGGGUUGUAAAGUACUUUCAUCGGGGAGGAAAAACAAAACUAAUAAUUUUAUUUCUUGACGUUACCCGAAAAAGAAGCACCGGCUAACUCCGUGCCAGCAGCCGCGGUAAUACGGAGGGUGCUAGCGUUAAUCAGAAUUACUGGGCGUAAAGAGCACGUAGGUGGUUUUUUUAAGUCAGAUGUGAAAUCCCUGGGCUUAACCUAGGAACUGCAUUUUGAAACUGAAAUACUAGAGUAUCGUAGAGGGAGGUAGAAUUCUAGGUGUAGCGGUGAAAUGCGUAGAUAUCUGGAGGAAUACCUAGUGGCGAAAGCGGCCUCCUAAACGAAUACUGACACUGAGGUGCGAAAGCGUGGGGAGCAAACAGGGAUUAGAUACC